rnacentral:misc_RNA from 1 species
GUUGAAGAACCAAAUCCGCUUUAUUUGUGCUCUGAAUAUGGACAAACUUGCAGGCUGAAGUUGCUCUUUGUAGAGACAAAAGAGCCCCUUCAGGAAACUCUCUCUUUGUGCUACCUAUAAAAUUUCUGGAGAAUCUUAGCCAGGUAUAAUGCGGCGGAAAGUGUUCUUUAAUCAGUUGUUCAUGGUGUUGUAGAGAAAUUCUUAUUCUUCACCUUCUAGGUUGUUAUUCUGUGCUUGAAGCAUUUUGAAUGUGUAAUUAAAGAUUACGAGUCAGAGCUGUAUCGCAAUUCGAUCUUUUGAGUGUGCUAUUUGCUAGCCAAAACUUUAGCAUGUUGAUCAAUCACUGUUGCUAAUUUGUUUACUUGUUCUGAGAUCACCUUGUAA